UUGAGCAUCGUUUCUUCUUUUGAUAGCAUUUUUUAAAGUUUCUUCAAGCUUCUUCACGAUUUUUUGAAGCUUCUUCAACUUUCUAAGCUUCAACUUUCUAAUGUAAUAAAAACGAAAUUAUGAAAAAGAAAUGAUAGGGUACUUACAGUUACAGCUGAAGAGUUUGUUGGAUUAAUUUCUGAAGAAAAGAAAGUUUUAGGGCAGAAAGGAGAUAAAGUAAAAAUAUAGAUAAAUCCAGCAGCUCCAAAAAGAAGAGAAAAAACUGCAAUAGUAGAUAUAGAGUUCUUGGUCUAUAUAUCCAUUUUCAUUUCUUUGGGAAUAUUGUUAGUUUAGUGGAUUUUGAAUCUUUCGCAAAAGUCCAAUUUUUUUGGGGUUUUGCCUUUUUGUUGUUGAUACAGGAGAUUUGGGGGUGUGGUAGGUGAGGAAAUUUUUUCUUCUAUUUUGUUUUGUUUUAUCUUUCGGACUUAGGAAGGUCAUGUAAUGGAAAUGAAGUGGGAAAGAUAAAAGGAACUAAGAGCCUGUUUGGAAAGCCGCCCAGGUAAUUAUAAUUGGGUAUAAUUACAUAGUUUGGCCUAUUUUUUUUACUAAAUAAUUAUACAGUUAGGUGGGAAUUGAGUUUAAUUAAGAGGGUGUAAUUACACUCUUUAAUACUCAAGGGGUGGUUGAGAAUUUGGUGUGAUUACACCAUGUAAUUAUAGGGUUAAGAGCAAGGGUAGGGAAGACUAAGAGGGCUGCAGCAUUUAAAGUGCCCACAAAACAGCAAAGUUGAAACAAAAAAAAUGAACUCAAUCGAAUGAAAAUUUGACAAAAGGCUGGAAAUUGAAACGAAAUCAAAGAGGAAAAGCAAGUAAGAAAGAAAAGAGAUAGUGGGUACUUUAUAUAGCUUAGAUUUCACUUCAGCCUUCCAUGAAAAAUGAUAAUAAAACAAAGCUCAUUUUACAGAGCACCUUUUUUAGAAGCAUUUAGAUAGGGAAUAUGGGUAGAGAAUAGAAUCGAAGAAAGAUUGAACAGUGAUGAAACAUAAUAGUGUUAAUGUUGUUUCAAGUACAUAAUAGUUUUAAUGUUGUCUGAUUUCUGCCAUUACUAUAAAGUUGGAACUUUCUUUAUGUUAUUGACAGAGUUGGUUGAAUGUGUUGGUGAAAUUUCUUGGUUGGAUUUUAGGUUUAACUUUGUGUUGCGGUGAUUGUGUACAUAUGUGUGUUCAGCCUCUUUAAUUUAAGGACAAAUAUUCUAUAUUGACGGUCAACUUUCACUGAUAAAUGAAGACCAACAUUUCUGCUCCAUGGUGUGCUCAGAUUGUAAAUUGCCAUUUUUAAGAACUACUACACCAAGGCCAAUCUACUGCAUCCAGUGCGAAAGAUCCAUCCAACUUAUUCCCAGAAUCCAAUUUGAAGUUAUGGUCAUGGAUCACACUGGUAGCACAGUGGCCUCCAUCUCAGAUCAAUCAGCAACGAAGAUGUUGAACCUCAAUGUACAAGAGAUUUAUGACAUCUGCCAUGCACAAGUAUUUUAUAUCAUCGAAUUUAUAAACUUAUGACAAUCAUCAUGACUAACUAAAUUUUUCUCGCUGUAGAGAAAAGCACUACUUCUUGACAAUGCACAUAAACAAUUAGGACGAAAGACUUUCAGAAUCCAAAUGAAAAGAUUAUUUUCCAAAAAUCAAGAUAGGUUAGCUAUCAUGAAUUAUGAGGAAAAAGAACCUACAAACCAACCAUCACCGAUUGCACCAAUGACCAGCACUGCUGAAACAAGCAAGCACAAGGCUAUGAAGAUUAGCUUCGACCGAACAAAUCAGCAGAACCUGCCCAAAGACAAACCUUCCAGCACUAGAUAGAAAACAGAAACCAAGACUCCUCUCAAAAGGGAGUGAAAGCUACUAGAAAUGUUUUGCCAACAAGUUUUUGGAGCACAUCUUUUUGCCAAUGCACUGUCAAGCUACUAUCUUUUUGCCACAAGACUGCCUUUUUGAAAAGCUACAUUACAAUCAUAUGUGAUGCCCCCUGCUUUAAAAAGGUAUUUUGUCAACCAUGGCGUUGCACAACUACAACUUGCAGGAUUACUACUAAGAAAAUGCUUUUUCUGUAAAUAUGUAGUAUAAAUGAUGUAUAUAUGACAAUGCAAUCAUCAAUGUAAUAGACAAAUGUAUAUAUGCAUAAACAGUGGAAACUUAUUUUAGUUGUCUUAUACUAUCUUACCUCAUUACUUACAAUAAUCUUCUUACUGUUGGAUAUUUUAAAUCAUCCCUAAAUAUUGUCAAAGUGAACGAUUUUUACGUUGGUUUUGGGAAGAGCAUAAAUUGAUCAAA